rnacentral:lncRNA from 1 species
CGCCGCCGCCCUGCAACCGCUCCCCGGGACCCCUCAACGCUGACACUGAUGACCCGCGGCGGGGGCGCUGGGCGCGGGGUGCGCAGGCCACUGGCCGCGGGCUCUCGGGCCCGCUCCUGCCGCCGGCUUCUGCUGCUUCCGCGUGCCGUGGACACUGCCAGAAUUUGUCAAAGGUCCUAGGAAGAAAAGGCUCUUUCACCCCUCCCCUCAAUGAACAGAUGGCGUGUUUGGACUGUUCGCAUUCGCUCCUCAUAGGUGGGAUCCUGGAGGAAGUUAAGGGGUGCUCCGUUCCCUGGGGAUGGGACAGCAGCUCGCCUUUUUACUAAUAGCUAUAAGGGACUGUCAGACAUUUACCUGACUAGACCUUCACCUCAGAGCUCAGAAGGGGAACAGCUCCAGAACUAAAAGAGAGAGCCUCUGGCAGACCCCAAAAGACAGCAUGUGGAGUGAAGCUGGGCUUCCCUGCCCAAUCACUAGGAUCAUUUAUUGCACAAAUACCUGUAUUUUAAGCUGCAGAUUAUUGUGAAUUUUUGUAUUUUCUUCAUUUCCAUUUAGCUUUUUUUCAAUUUUAGAAUAGCCUUUCUCUAGAUAACUCGAGGAAGUGGGAGACGGAAUUUCCUUUGUUUCUGUCUUGAGCCCAAAGGGACAAUUGAGUGUCAGGUAUGACAGGGAUAAAGGGAGAAACUCAGAAAUAAUGCUUUUGUUUUGUUUUGUUUUGUUUUGAGAUGGAGUCUCGCUCUUGUCGCCCAGGCUGGAGUGCAAUGGCAUGAUCUUGGCUCACUGCAAACUCCACCUCCUGGGUUCAAGCGAUUCUCCUCCUCAGCCUCCCAAGUAGAUGGGCUUACAGGCAAGCGCCAUCACGCCCGGCUAAUUUUGUAUUUUUAGUAGAGAUGGGGUUUCACCAUAUUGGUCAGUCCGGUCUUGAACUCCUGACCUUGUGAUCCACCCACCUUGGCCUCUCAAAGUGCUGGGAUUACAGGCAUGAGCCACCGCACCCAGCCAGAGGAAUGUUUUGGGUGCUACACGUGCAGCCCCUCAUGACUGUAUCUCCUCAGAGCUCUUUUCUUCACAUUCCUGAGUGCUUUGUGUUUUGUUUAUUUAAGGGACAAAUGAAUCUCUUCCCACGCCAUGGGAUUUCCCUUGAUUUUUAUAUUGGGAGUGAAAAGAUGAAGCAUGAGACUCUUCAGCUGCAUCUCGAACUGCAUCUAAUCCCAGCACAUCUCUCUCAAUCUUUGAUUAAGUCUGUUCAUCUAAAAGAGAGACACAGGGGAAAAAUGGAAAUGGGACUUUGGAAGAAUGACCAUCCACAUUCCCAUCACAGCCUGAGAUUUCCUACCUGAUUGAGAUUUUCAGUAGAUGGCCCUAGGUCUAGUUUCCCACUUUGGACCUGCUGCCCUUGGCUCCAAUAGAGGACUUCCAAGUAACUAGGAAGAUUUCACCUCUCUUUUGAAACAUAAUGGACAAAUGUGUUUCUUUAGGAUGAGAGGUGCACCUGGCUAGUCAAUCUUUAUUUUCCUAAAAUAAACAGGAUGAAAACUCAAAACAAAAAGAAAUACCUCAUGGGCAAAAGCUCUCCCAAUACAACUAAUACAGACACUCAACAUGGCUUUGUAGAAACUGACCCCUCUCCCAAGUCUUAUGUUUGUCAGAAUUGCAUGCCUAUUUCAAUCGAAGAAAAGUGAUCUGAUCUCUUCAGAUGAAGGUGGGACUUGGAGAUGCUGCUGCCUAGAGUUAACUUGCCAGAGAAAGGAUAAGCAUUCGGGAAGUGCCAGGAUGGGGUAUCAGCUGAACAAUGGCAGGAUCCCUUCUGCCAGUGGGCUGGCUCAGGGAGUAAACCUCCCCGGAAGGAAUUUUGUUUCUCUCUAGAAUCAAAGUGGGCAAAAUGAUCACCUUAUUCGCCUGGAGUGAACCAGGUUGAAACUGAGAAGGCAGACAUGGGUGAUAAGCCAGAUGAAGUCAUAUGUUAUAACUAAGCUAUGUACCUGUAACUUGCCUGGUAGUUUUUUCAUUCUCUCUAAACAGGUCAUAAUAAGUGUUAGUCUGUGAUCCACUAUGGAGAGAGAUUUCUGGAAAGAAUAGAGGCAGUGGUAGAGGGUCCAAGGUUGUUAUUUAAGGAGAUGAAUGUGGGUCAGGUGCCGUGGCUCACACCUGUAAUCCCAGCAUUUUGGGAGGCAGAGGCAGGAGGAUUGCUUAAGGCCAGAGUUCAAGACCAAACUGGCCAAUAUAGUGAGAUCCCCCCCCCAUCUCUACAAAAGAUAGAAAAACUUAGCCAGGCAUGGUGGCAGGUGCUAUAGUCCCUGCCACCAUGGGACUACAGCUCCUGCAGUCCCAGCUACUCAGGAGUUGAGGCGGAAGGAUUGCUUGAGCCCAGAAGUUCGAGGUUGCAGUGAGCCAUGAUCAUGCCACUGCACUCCUCCGUGGGUGACAGA